AAUGAACGCUGGCGGCGUGCUUAACACAUGCAAGUCGAACGAGGCGGAGCGGGGCAACUCGCUCCAGUCGAGUGGCGGACGGGUGAGUAACACGUGGGUAACCUGCCCGGAAGUGGGGAAUACCUCGGGGAAACUCGAGCUAAUACCGCAUGACAUCUUCGGAACGGAAGUUCUGACGAUCAAAGCGGGGUCGCAAGAUCUCGCGCUACCGGAUGGGCCCGCGCCCGAUUAGCUAGUUGGUGAGGUAACGGCUCACCAAGGCAACGAUGCGUAGCCGACCUGAGAGAGUGAUCGGCCAGACUGGGACUGAGACACGGCCCAGACUCCUACGGGAGGCAGCAGUAGGGAAGCUGCCGCAAUGGACGAAAGUCUGACGGAGCAACGCCGCGUGAGUGAUGAAGGCUUUCGGGUCGUAAAACUCUGUUGUUAGGGAAGAACAAGUGCUAGUUGAAUAAGCUGGCACCUUGACGGUACCUAACCAGAAAGCCACGGCUAACUACGUGCCAGCCGCCGCGGUAACAC
rnacentral:rRNA from 1 species